rnacentral:rRNA from 1 species
GAUGAACGCUAGCGGCAGGCUUAACACAUGCAAGUCGAGGGGCAGCACGAUGUAGCAAUACAUUGGUGGCGACCGGCGCACGGGUGCGUAACACGUAUGGAACCUGCCCUGUACUGGGAGAUAGCCCUCCGAAAGGAGGAUUAAUAUCCCAUAAUAGCUUGGGUGGCAUCACCUGGGUUUGAAAGCUCCGGCGGUACAGGAUGGCCAUGCGCACGAUUAGCUAGUUGGUGAGGUAACAGCUCACCAAGGCUACGAUCGUUAGGGGGCCUGAGAGGGUUAUCCCCCACACUGGUACUGAGACACGGACCAGACUCCUACGGGAGGCAGCAGUGAGGAAUAUUGCGCAAUGGAGGAAACUCUGACGCAGCCAUGCCGCGUGCAGGAAGAAGGCGCUACGCGUUGUAAACUGCUUUUAACCGGGAAGAAACCCUCCGACGUGUCGGAGGUUGACGGUACCGGAGGAAUAAGCACCGGCUAACUUCGUGCCAGCCGCCGCGGUAA